UUCCUGGUGGUCCAGUGGCUUAGACUCCUUGCCUCCAAUGCAGGCAGCCCAGGUUCAAUCCCUGGCCAAGGAA
rnacentral:tRNA from 1 species